rnacentral:rRNA from 1 species
AUUGAACGCUGGCGGCAUGCUUUACACAUGCAAGUCGAACGGUAACAGGCCGCAAGGUGCUGACGAGUGGCGUACGGGUGAGUAAUGCAUCGGAACGUGCCCAGUCGUGGGGGAUAACGCAGCGAAAGCUGCGCUAAUACCGCAUACGAGCUAUGGAUGAAAGCGGGGGACCGUAAGGCCUCGCGCGAUUGGAGCGGCCGAUGUCAGAUUAGGUAGUUGGUGGGGUAAAGGCUCACCAAGCCAACGAUCUGUAGCUGGUCUGAGAGGACGACCAGCCACACUGGGACUGAGACACGGCACAGACUCCUACGGGAGGCAGCAGUGGGGAAUUUUGGACAAUGGGCGCAAGCCUGAUCCAGCAAUGCCGCGUGCAGGAAGAAGGCCUUCGGGUUGUAAACUGCUUUUGUACGGAACGAAACGGUCCUGGUUAAUACCUGGGGCUAAUGACGGUACCGUAAGAAUAAGCACCGGCUAACUACGUGCCAGCCGCCGCCGUAA